GGGUAUAGCUCCAUGGUAGAGCACAUGCUUAGCAUGCACAGUGUUCUGGGUUCAAUCCCCAGUACCUUCA
rnacentral:tRNA from 1 species